rnacentral:rRNA from 1 species
GUGGGGAAUUUUGGCCAAUGGGGGCAACCCUGAUCCAGCCAUGCCGCGUGCGGGAAGAAGGCCUUCGGGUUGUAAACCGCUUUUGUCAGGGAAGAAAUCCUUUGGGUUAAUACCUCGGAGGGAUGACGGUACCUGAAGAAUAAGCACCGGCUAACUACGUGCCAGCAGCCGCGGUAAUACGUAGGGUGCGAGCGUUAAUCGGAAUUACUGGGCGUAAAGCGUGCGCAGGCGGUUUUGUAAGAUCGAUGCGAAAUCCCCGGGCUCAACCUGGGAACUGCAUUGGUGACUGCAAGGCUGGAGUGCGGCAGAGGGGGAUGGAAUUCCGCGUGUAGCAGUGAAAUGCGUAGAUAUGCGGAGGAACACCGAUGGCGAAGGCAAUCCCCUGGGCCUGCACUGACGCUCAUGCACGAAAGCGUGGGGAGCAAACAGGAUUAGAUACCCCGGUAGUCC